UUCAGGUGACCCGAUCUCAAGCUGUUUAGGGUUGGUGAAAGCCCACAUUUUAAACCACUCUUGGAAAUGAAUAGGCAGUCACUUUGUACAAAGGGGUGGGGAACAGGCAUAUAGGUCAUGCCUGUAAGGAUCCCGCUGCUGAUGAAUUAUCCAAAUUAAUUUUUAUGAGUUGAAAGCAUGGGAUUUUCAUGCAAAUGCUGGAGCUCCCCAAUCCCAUCCCUUUCCUGGAGGCAAGUGAAUGACAUCUCUAUAUCUGAGAAUGAAAUGCAACUCCACUGAAAGCAGUGAAAAAUUCUCCCCACGUACAUGAAAGGCCUCCACGUAUUGUGGAAGUGACCUUCAGAGGAAGGAAGGAAAAACCAGACUGGACAACUGUCAUAUAAAAGAUAUUUCAGUCCACAGAAGGAGGAGGGAGGAUGGGAAACAUUUCAGAAGAGACAUUCUUUCUAGCUUUCCAGAGAGAGAAAAGAAAGAAGAAAUUCUUUCAACCUUGCAAGAUUCUGUUAGUGUUAUCUUACAAUAAAAAAUAGAGUUAGUACUUAUUAUGCUUCGUGUCUGGACUAUCUUGAAGUGCUGACUGCUGCUCAUGUUAUCAGAGUUUAUUUUAUUUUAUUUUUUUAUCUGAAAACUUAC